CUACAGAGGGUGCGAGCGUUAAUCGGAAUUACUGGGCGUAAAGCGCGCGUAGGCGGUCUAUUAAGUCAGAUGUGAAAUCCCAGGGCUCAACCUUGGAACUGCAUCUGAUACUGGUAGACUAGAGUUUUGGAGAGGGAAGUAGAAUUUCAGGUGUAGCGGUGAAAUGCAUAGAGAUCUGAAGGAAUACCAGUGGCGAAGGCGACUUCCUGGCCAAAAACUGACGCUGAGGUGCGAAAGCGUGGGUAGCAAACGGGAUUAGAUACCCCAGUAGUCC
rnacentral:rRNA from 1 species